rnacentral:rRNA from 1 species
CGUCAAGUCCUCAUGGCCCUUAUGGGCUGGGCUACACACGUGCUACAAUGGCGAUGACAAUGGGUCGCGACCUCGCGAGGGGGAGCAAAUCCGUGAAAAGUCGUCUCAGUUCGGAUUGUACUCUGCAACUCGAGUGCAUGAAGUCGGAAUCGCUAGUAAUCGUGGAUCAGCAUGCCACGGUGAAUACGUUCCCGGGCCUU